UUUCAGUUGCUGCUCGGCAAACUUAUUUUCUAAACUACUGUCGGCGAGAAUUUCACAGACUUCGUUGUUCGCAAAUUCAUCCAAGGUUUUCUUGUUUCUAUACAAAAGUUCUAGUAUCCUGGAUUGGCUAUUGUCAAUUUUUUCAGACAAAUGGAAAAUAUCUUUACCCUGGAACAAUAUAAAUAGAACUACACGGGACACAUAUGCCUUACUCCUCUUACAGAAAGAAUGAGGAAUAAGGAAAGAAGGAUUGAAAUUAGAUAUUCCAUCUAUUUAAAUGCUAAUAAAUAUACAGGAUGAUCAAGAUUGAAUUUACACCAUAAACCAUGAUAUACACCAUUUUUAUUGCUGGGGAUGGAGCUCACAUGACAUCUUUUGCAUUUUUUUCGACAACUUAAACAACACUCUUCUUUAUUUGGAAAUAAAAUUGAAGCAUUUAUAGUAAUCAAGCCACAGUUCUGGAGCCUGCAAGACCUUUUAGCUGCAGAAAUUUAAAUUACACAUCUCCAUCUCAAGAAUCAAAAUCUCCAGUAUUAUAUCUGUGCAGUACAACUACUGAAAAUUAUUUAAUAAAUGAACUCUGACAAGCA